GGUAAACGCUGGCGGCGUGCCUAAAACAUGCAAGUCGAACGGACUAUCGCAAGAUGGUCAGUGGCAGACGGCUGAGUAACGCGUGGGUGACGUACCUGUUGGUGGGGAAUAACUGCCCGAAAGGGUGGCUAAUUCCGCAUACGUCCACUGAUUCGGUUCAGUGGAGAAAGCCGCAAGGCGCCGAUGGAGCGGCCCGCGUUCGAUUAGCUGGUUGGUGGGGUAACGGCCUACCAAGGCGACGAUCGAUAGCUGGUCUUAGAGGAUGAUCAG
rnacentral:rRNA from 1 species